rnacentral:rRNA from 1 species
UACGGAGGGGGCUAGCGUUGUUCGGAAUUACUGGGCGUAAAGCGCACGUAGGCGGCUUUGUAAGUUAGAGGUGAAAGCCCAGGGCUUAACCCUGGAAUUGCCUUUAAGACUGCAUCGCUCGAAUUGUGGAGAGGUGAGUGGAAUUCCGAGUGUAGAGGUGAAAUUCGUAGAUAUUCGCAAGAACACCAGUGGCGAAGGCGGCUCACUGGCCCGAUACUGACGGCUGAGGCACGAAAAGCGUGGGGAGCAAAC